AUUGAACGCUGGCGGCAGGCCUAACACAUGCAAGUCGAACGAUAACAGGAAGAAGCUUGCUUCUUUGCUGACGAGUGGCGGACGGGUGAGUAAUGUCUGGGAAACUGCCUGAUGGAGGGGGAUAACUACUGGAAACGGUAGCUAAUACCGCAUAACGUCGCAAGACCAAAGAGGGGGACCUUCGGGCCUCUUGCCAUCGGAUGUGCCCAGAUGGGAUUAGCUAGUAGGUGGGGUAACGGCUCACCUAGGCGACGACCCCUAGCUGGUCUGAGAGGAUGACCAGCCACACUGGAACUGAGACACGGUCCAGACUCCUACGGGAGGCAGCAGUGGGGAAUAUUGCACAAAGGGCGCAAGCCUGAUGCAGCCAUGCCGCGUGUAUGAAGAAGGCCUUCGGGUUGUAAAGUACUUUCAGCGGGGAGGAAGGGAGUAAAGUUAAUACCUUUGCUCAUUGACGUUACCCGCAGAAGAAGCACCGGCUAACUCCGUG
rnacentral:rRNA from 1 species